rnacentral:misc_RNA from 1 species
GAUGAAGAACGUGGCGAAAUGCGAUAACUAAUGUGAAUUGCAGAAUUCAGUGAAUCAUCGAGUCUUUGAACGCACAUUGCGCCCCCUGGUAUUCCGGGGGGCAUGCCUGUCCGAGCGUCAUUGCUGCCCUCAAGCACGGCUUGUGUGUUGGGCUCCGUCCCCCCGGGGACGGGCCCGAAAGGCAGCGGCGGCACCGAGUCCGGUCCUCGAGCGUAUGGGGCUUUGUCACCCGCUCUGUAGGCCCGGCCGGCGCCAGCCGACAACCCAUCAUCCUUUUCAGGUUGACCUCGGAUCAGGUAGGGAUACCCGCUGAACUUAAGCAUAUCAAUAAGCGGAGGA